rnacentral:rRNA from 1 species
UACGGAGGGUGCAAGCGUUAUCCGGAUUCACUGGGUUUAAAGGGUGCGUAGGUGGGUAUGUAAGUCCGUGGUGAAAUCCUGCAGCUUAACUGCAGAACUGCCGUGGAUACUAUAUAUCUUGAAUAUCGUGGAGGUUAGUGGAAUAGGUCAUGUAGCGGUGAAAUGCUUAGAGAUGACAUGGAACACCGAUUGCGAAGGCAGCUGGCUACACGAUAAUUGACACUGAGGCACGAAAGCGUGGGUAGCAAACAGG